UACGGAGGGUGCGAGCGUUGUCCGGAAUCACUGGGCGUAAAGGGCGCGUAGGCGGCGCGGGAAGUCCGUGGUGAAAGCCCGAGGCUCAACUUCGGGUCGGCCAUGGAUACUCCUGGGCUCGAGCACUGUAGAGGCAGGUGGAAUUCCAGGUGUAGCGGUGAAAUGCGUAGAUAUCUGGAGGAACACCGGUGGCGAAGGCGGCAUCCUGGACCGAUAUUGACGCUGAGGCGCGAAAGCCAGGGGAGCAAACGGG
rnacentral:rRNA from 1 species